rnacentral:lncRNA from 1 species
AGAAUAUUUUGCCAGUACUGCUGUGGAACAUCCAGGUGCUCUUGUGCAAACUGUAAAUGUGCAGCAAUGUUUUGUUUGGACAGAAGUGACUUCCUCUGUGGUAUCCUCCCAUGAAAUCCAUUCUUGUUUAGUGUUUUAUGUAUUGUAGAUUCGCUAACAGGGAUGUUAGCAUUUGUCAGUGACUUUUGUAAGUCUUUAGCUGACACUCUAGGAUUCU